GAUGAACGCUGGCGGCGUGCCUAAUACAUGCAAGUCGAGCGAACAGACGAGGAGCUUGCUCCUCUGACGUUAGCGGCGGACGGGUGAGUAACACGUGGAUAACCUACCUAUAAGACUGGGAUAACUUCGGGAAACCGGAGCUAAUACCGGAUAAUAUAUUGAACCGCAUGGUUCAAUAGUGAAAGACGGUUUUGCUGUCACUUAUAGAUGGAUCCGCGCCGCAUUAGCUAGUUGGUAAGGUAACGGCUUACCAAGGCAACGAUGCGUAGCCGACCUGAGAGGGUGGUCGGCCACACUGGCACGGAGACACGGUCCAGACUCCUACGGGAGGCAGCAGUAGGGAAUCUUCCGGAAUGGGCGAAAGCCUGACGGAGCAACGCCGCGUGAGUGAUGAAGGUCUUCGGAUCGUAAAACUCUGUUAUUAGGGAAGAACAAAUGUGUAAGUAACUAUGCACGUCUUGACGGUACCUAAUCAGAAAGCCACGGCUAACUACGUG
rnacentral:rRNA from 1 species